GGGGGAGAGAUUGACAUCCAUCACACACACAUGCAAUGCACCCCUUGCACACAGAAAAACACACAAUGCAUUACACACACAGACACACACACACAAACAAUGCAACCCUUACACACAAUGCAUCCCUUACACACACACAAACACACAAUGCAUUCCUUACACACACUCAAUGCACCCCUUACACACACUCAAUGCACCCCUUACACACGCACACACUGCAUCCUGUACAUACACAGAAACAC